GGGGGCCCACCUCUGCCUCCAGAGUCACUGGAAGAGGCUGGACCUUUAGCAAUUCAACAGGAGACUUCAGUUCAAUCUCCGGAACCUGUUAAUAGUGAGAACCCCUCUCCAACCCAGCAGGAGGCUGAAGCUGAGCAUCCACAGACCGCUGAGGAGGGUGAGUCUUCUCUAACCCAGCAGGAGGCCCCAGCUCAGACUCCAGAGCUCCCUAACGUAGUUGUAGCUCAACUUCCAGAGCAGUCAAACCUGAAUCAAGCCACAGUUCAACCUUUGGACCUGGGGCUUACCAUCACUCCAGAAACCACUAUGGAGGUUGGACAUUCUGUAUCUCUGAAGAAGACUUUCGUUCUUCCAAAGCAACUUAAGGUGACACUUCCACAUCCAGACCAGGUUCGGACUCAUCAUUCACACCUGACUCAAGCCACAGUUCAACCUUUGGACCUGGGGUUUACCAGCACUCCAGAAUCCACAACAGAGGUUGAACUUUCUCCAACCGUGCAGGAGACCCCAACUCAGCCUCCUAAGAAAGUUGUACCCCAACUUCGAGUAUAUCAAGAGGUAGCAAUUCCAACACCAGGUCAGAAUGAAGCUCAGCAUCCAAUGUCACCCAGCGUCACAGUUCAACCUUUGGACCUGGGACUUACCAUCCCUCCAACCACUAUGGAGGUUGUACCUUCUACAGCCCUGAAGAAGACUGUAGCUCCUCCAGAGCAUCCUAAGGUGACACUUCCACAUCCAGACCAGGUUCAGACUCAGUAUUCACACCUGACUCAAGCCACAGUUCCACCUUUGGACCUGGGGCUUACCAACACUCCAGAAUCCACGACAGAGUUCAAACCUUCUACAGCCCUGACGACUACAGCUCCUCCUCCAGAACACCCUGAGGUGACACUUUCACCUUCAGACAAAGGUCAGACUCAGCAUUCACACCUGACUCAAGCCACAUUUCAACCUUCGGACCUGGGACUUACCAUCACUUUAGAACCCCCUACGGAGGUUGGACAUUCUACAACCCUGAAGCCGACUGUAGUUCCUCCAAAGCAUCCUAAGGUGACACUUCCACAUCCAGACCAGGUUCAGACUCUGCAUCGAAAACUGACUGAAGUCAGAAAUCCAAGUACUGAACUAGAACCUACUCAAGAUUCAUUGGUUCAGUCUGAAAGUCACGCCCCAAAUAAGACUUCAGCUGCAUCAGAGGAACAGAAGGCCUCCACAAGCACCAACAUAUGUGAGCUCUGUACCUGUGGAAAUGAUACGCUGUCAUGUAUUGAUCUCAGCCCAAAGCAGAGGCUCCGCCAAGUUCCUGUGCCAGAGCCCAACACCUACAAUGGCACCUUCACCAUCUUGUAAGGAUCACCUUUCCCCAAUUGUCCUCUGUGUCCUGCCUGAUGUGGCAGCCUUCCUGGGCUUUCUUUAUCUCCCCAAGCCAUACUGACAACUGACUUUCUGCGUUCACCUUUGCUUGUCAAUUCUCCUUUCUCCUCAUUCUCCUUUAAUGUUAGGCCCCUUCUCCAGUCUUUUACUUUUACUCUAGCCUUUUACUCGUUUUCUCAUCCAUUUUUAUUUAGCUCCAUCAUAUCAUUGCUUAACCGCUGCUCUCCUCCCAUUUUUGUUUCACCCUCUUUACGAUCUCAGUGAUGAGGCUCUAGGUAGUUAAGAGUUGAUUCCAGAGCCAGGCUGCCUUGGGUUGAACCCAGGUCUGUUUAUUAGCUUGGUGACCCAGAGCAAGUUAUUCUGCUCUGUGACUCAAUUUCCUCACCUUUCAACUGGGGAUUAUGCCAGUUACCAUUUCAUAGGAUUGUUGUGAAAUUUAGGUGAGUGAAUAUAUGAAACACUUCAUCAGUGCCUAGCCUAUGUAGGAGUGUUUGCUGUUAACAUGAUUACUCGAGUCCUUUAGUUUUGUGCAGAACUCAUCGUUGUCCCUAGCUUUCUAUGUGUAGCACUCGUUUUGUGUCAAACCCAGGGUCAAGUAUGCUACUGUCUCCAGAACAUGAAAAUGAUAGGAGGGAAGAAAGAGAAUAGGCAUAAAAAGGGAGGUAUAUAUAAUUAAGUACUAAAAGAUAAUGCAGACCAUAGGUGCUAGAAUUUGCCAGAAUCUGUGAUCCUUGAGGUGUGGAGAUCAGGGAAAGCUACAUGGAUAAGCUAAAAUUUUACUUGGAUCUUAAAGAAUAACUAUAAUUUGUUAAA